GUCCUGGUCUCGCCUCGGGAAGCCGCCUGCACGGUCGUCUCCUCCUCGCCGCCAUCUUGGGCCGCGUGGGUCCCUCCACGGCCUGUGUCCUGCGGGCGUUUGUGGGUUCGGAGGGGACGUCCCUGUUUCUGAUGUGUGAGAAUAAUGAUAUGCUUCUCCAUUGGAGCUGCUGCUGCUAAGGACCACCAUGACAGUGCUGCCACACCCAGAGCAGUCAGGAGACAGGAAGCUUGACCCGUCUGCCCCUGUCUGCAGCCUUCAUUCACUCUUUAGAGCCUCCAGGCUGCCUCAGCAAGAAUUCUGCGUCUGCUGGGGACGCUGCGUUUGGAGUGCUGAAUUGAGAUCCAGACCCUGCAUGUAAGAAGGAUGGAAAAAAUAGAGGAAGUGCUGGUCCUCAGUGGGGAACAAGCAGAGACUCCCACACUACUCCAUAGGGAGAAUCCGCCUUGUGCUCUGGAUCUGCCUCCUCUCCUGUGCAGGAACAUCUACAGCAAUAACCUGGCAUUACCAUGUCCCUAUUGACCAGAAAUCUCCUUGCCAUCAGGGAAUCUCGAGUGAAAUGCUACUGCCUAUUACAGUUCUCUGUGAAAUUAUUGGCACUUCUUUGGAGCAAACAAAUAUUUUUUUUCUAGUGUUUUUUUUUUUUGGCAGGGGCGGGGGCGGGCAGCACUCAGAAUGGACUAAGCAUCUCCUAGGAGUAUCAGCUUGGGCUAGAUUCUGUGUGGAGGUCCAGAGGGAGGAAAAGUCCUGGUUAUAAUGGAGAAAACAUCCUAGACGCAUGGGAGAAAAGACCCAAAAACAAAAAUAGGGAAGUGUAGUGUACCCAGCUCUGCUCACAGCACACGGGAGUUGGCACUGUGUUCAGGUCUGGUGCUCAAUCAAGGUCGAAACAUAACCCAAACAUUGGCAGGCCCGUGGGCCAACUCCCUACAUUUCUGAAAUGGUCUUACUGAGAAUAAGAAAUACAUUUCAUCCCUUAGAAUUUUCUUUAUUCUUUACCACCCAGGCUGCCUCUGCUCUCUUGUGCUGGACAAGACCCAUCUCAUUCCAAGCACACGCGGCCAUGUUGUCUGAGCACGGGUGGAAACCUCUUGUCACCCCCUCCAGAACUCUUUUUUGAGGAGAUUCCCAUAUUUAUUUAGAAGAAAUAUUUGAGUCACUAUGGGUGGAGGGUGACACUUAAGAGAACUGCUUUGUACGGGACAAGAAGGGGAAUAUGUGUCACUUCUGAGAGAGGGGAGUGGGGAGAAGA